rnacentral:rRNA from 1 species
GUUGAACGCUGGCGGCAUGCCUUACACAUGCAAGUCGAACGGCAGCACGGGAGCAAUCCUGGUGGCGAGUGGCGAACGGGUGAGUAAUAUAUCGGAACGUGCCCAGUAGUGGGGGAUAACUGCUCGAAAGAGCAGCUAAUACCGCAUACGACCUGAGGGUGAAAGGGGGGGAUCGCAAGACCUCUCGCUAUUGGAGCGGCCGAUAUCAGAUUAGCUAGUUGGUGGGGUAAAGGCCUACCAAGGCAACGAUCUGUAGUUGGUCUGCGAGGACGACCAGCCACACUGGGACUGAGACACGGCCCAGACUCCUACGGGAGGCAGCAGUGGGGAAUUUUGGACAAUGGGCGCAAGCCUGAUCCAGCAAUGCCGCGUGCAGGAAGAAGGCAUUCGGGUUGUAAACUGCUUUUGUCAGGGAAGAAAUCCUCUAGGUUAAUACCCUUGGGGGGAUGACGGUACCUGAAGAAUAAGCACCGGCUAACUACGUGCCAGCCGCCGCCGUAAGAC